GGUGGCUGGCUCAGUGGUAGAGCAUUUGCCUUGCAAGCUGGAGGCCCUGGGUUUGAUUCCUCAGCACCA
rfam:Dipodomys ordii contig_50941, whole genome shotgun sequence.